UUUCUUUCUUUUCUCUUUACUUAAACACACACACACACUCAAUUCCACACUCACCCGCCGGCCUCCACUCCAAACCACACCAUCUCACCAUCAUUUUUCUGGCAAGAUCAUCGGAAAAAUACUUAGGAACCCAAAAGCAUCUUCAUCAUUUUAUUUGAGAGUAGGCAACAAUCUUUUGAGACAGCUUUUUGGUGGCUAAUAGUAGUUAGACUAACUACUGAUGGAGGUUGAACUUUUGUAAUGGAUAUAUUAGAUGGUGUACAUCUUAGAGUAGGCUUGACUCAUUCUUUUGUAUAUUAUAGUGGUUAUGACUGUAUUUCCUCUGAUAGGACAAGUUGUUGAUAUGUAAUUAUUUAUUCAGACCUCUAUUCUUUUGUGACCAAUGGUCCUUGUAAUUAAUACUUAGAGCUCUAACUUACUCUGAGAGUAUAUUCUAUGGGAUUAUUAUGAUAAUUCUUGAUGUUGGUACUUGAUAGGAUUUAUAU